AUUGAACGCUGGCGGCAGGCCUAACACAUGCAAGUCGAGCGGAUGAAGGGAGCUUGCUCCUGGAUUCAGCGGCGGACGGGUGAGUAAUGCCUAGGAAUCUGCCUGGUCGUGGGGGGUAACGUCCGGAAACGGGCGCUAAUACCGCAUACGUCCUGAGGGAGAAAGUGGGGGAUCUUCGGACCUCACGCUAUCAGAUGAGCCUAGGUCGGAUUAGCUAGUUGGUGGGGUAAAGGCCUACCAAGGCGACGAUCCGUAACUGGUCUGAGAGGAUGAUCAGUCACACUGGAACUGAGACACGGUCCAGACUCCUACGGGAGGCAGCAGUGGGGAAUAUUGGACAAUGGGCGAAAGCCUGAUCCAGCCAUGCCGCGUGUGUGAAGAAGGUCUUCGGAUUGUAAAGCACUUUUAGUUGGGAAGAAGGGCAGUAAGUUAAUACCUUGCUGUUUUGACGUUACCAACAGAAUAAGCACCGGCUAACUUCGUG
rnacentral:rRNA from 1 species